rnacentral:lncRNA from 12 species
CUGAGCCUCAAAUUUGGGUUUAAAAUUCUUAAACCUGCAGACCGCCUGGAUAUGGCUCGAAAAGACUCUUGACAUCUCCUUGGCCAAAUCCAGCCAGGAAAUCCCCCAAAUAGGGAAUUUCGCGGCAAACAGCGUUGGUCCCCGUUUUUCCACAGCCAGACCUUCCCCAUCAUCCCCCAUUUCUGGGGGGUCCGAGCCCCCCACUUUGUUGUCUCCACUUCCACCUAAUGAGUGGAGCCUUGUCCUUUUCCUAAUUAAAUCCUGCUCAUUAACCCACGGGAUUUAAUUGCUCCUGACGAGGGGCAGCAGGGGCCGCAUUUCCAAUUUCCUUCCCUUAAUUCUUUUAAUUGGGAGAAGCAGGGGGAUGGUGACCCAGCACCGGCAGAAAAUCCGCCCAGGUCAGAGUUUUUGGGAAUAUUUGCUUUAAUUUAACGGCUUUCUAUCACCCCCCAAAAUCGGGAGAAUAUCCCCAAAUCCAUGAGAAAGGGCUGUUGAGGGCUGUGUUGUCACUCCCAUCAAUGCUGACAACAAAAACAACAGUGACAGCAACAACAAAACCACCACCACCACGAAUAAUAACAAUAACAAUUCUUCAUUUUAUUCCAGAUUAUUUAUAAGGUGUUUUUGGGGAGCUUGGCAAUUUUUUGGAAGCAAGAUGUCGACGUGGCUUUUCUUCUUCUCCCACUUGGAAAGAAGUUUGUAAUCUGCCUCCUGGGUUUUUUGGGAGCUGCUGAAUCAUGAGUUUGGGGAAUGGGGUUACGGAGAGGGCAGGGAUCUUCAUGCAUGAACGUGUGAAGCCGAAGGGAAAAUGGAUUUUUUCCUCUUCUCUUCCCCUGCGUCUCAGCUCUGGCUCUGUCAGCACAACACUCCCAGUGCCGGCCGUGACUCACACGGUUAUUUUUAGCCCCGACCUCUUUUCUCCCCAUGUUUUCGUCCAUGUCAUGGUGCCCUAAAAAUGCAAAAUAAGGGAUGAAAUGGAAACCCCACCUUCGGAAGAGGCAGAAGCGAGGGGCAAUUUUCCCCUUUUCAUGGAUAAACCUGAUAUUCCCUUUGUUUUCCCAUCUUUGCCAUGUUUAUUGAGUGAAAAGC